rnacentral:rRNA from 1 species
GAUGAACGCUGGCGGCGUGCCUAAUACAUGCAAGUCGAGCGAACAGACGCGGAGCUUGCUCCUCUGACGUUAGCGGCGGACGGGUGAGUAACACGUGGAUAACCUACCUAUAAGACUGGGAUAACUUCGGGAAACCGGAGCUAAUCCCGGAUAAUAUAUUGAACCGCAUGGUUCAAUAGUAAAUGACGGUUUUGCUGGCACUUAUCGAUGGAUCCGCGCCGCAUUAGCUAGUUGGUAAGGUAACGGCCUACCAAGGCAAGGAUGCGUAGCCGACCGGAGAGGGUGGUCGGCCACAUUGGAACUGAGACACGGUCCAGACUCCUACGGGAGGCAGCAGUAGGGAAUCUUCCGCAAUGGGCGAAAGCUUGACGGAGCAAGGCCGCGUGAGUGAUGAAGGUCUUCGGAUCGUAAAACUCUGUUAUUAGGGAAGAACAAAUGUGUAAGUAACUAUGCACGUCUUGACGGUACCUAAUCAGAAAGCCACGGCUAACUACGUG